GAUGAACGCUGACAGAAUGCUUAACACAUGCAAGUCGAUGGGGAAGUGGUGCUUGCACCAUGGCAACCAUGGCGGACGGGUGAGUAACGCGUAAGGGACUUACCUGCAGGACUGGGAUAACAGGGGGAAACUCCUGACAAGACCGGAUAAUGUCAUGGAGCUGCAUGGCUUUAUGAUGAAAGGAGACGCCUGCGGAGAGCCCUGCGUCCUAUUAGCUAGUUGGUGAGGUAAUGGCUCACCAAGGCGAAGAUAGGUAGCCGGCCUGAGAGGGUGGACGGCCACAAGGGGACUGAGAUACGGCCCUUACUCCUACGGGAGGCAGCAGUGGGGAAUAUUGGACAAUGGGGGCAACCCUGAUCCAGCAAUUCUGUGUGCACGAAGAAGGUUUUCGGAUUGUAAAGUGCUUUCAGCAGGGAAGAAGUAAGUGACGGUACCUGCAGAAGAAGCGACGGCUAAAUACGUG
rnacentral:rRNA from 1 species